CCUUUGCCGGCGACCGGCGCACGGGUGAGUAACACGUAUGCAACCUGCCCUCUUCAGGGGGACAACCUUCCGAAAGGGAGGCUAAUCCCGCGUAUAUCGGUUUCGGGCAUCCGAGAUCGAGGAAAGAUUCAUCGGAAGAGGAUGGGCAUGCGGCGCAUUAGCUAGACGGCGGGGUAACGGCCCACCGUGGCGACGAUGCGGUAGGGGUUCUGAGAGGAACGGUCCCCACACUGGUACUGAGACACGGCCCAAACUCCUACGGAAGGCAGCAG
rnacentral:rRNA from 1 species